rnacentral:tRNA from 1 species
GCGGUAGUAGCUCAGUGGUAGAGUGCCACCUUGCCAAGGUGGAUGUCGCGGGUCCGAAUCCCGUCUACCGCU